rnacentral:rRNA from 1 species
UUUUAUGCUUGCAUAAAUGAUUUUUGGAUUCGGAGCGAGUGGCGAACUGGUGAGUAACACGUGGGUAACCUGCCCCGAAGCGGGGGAUAACAUUUGGAAACAAGUGCUAAUACCGCAUAAUUAGUUGGAACCGCAUGGUUCCAACUUGAAAGAUGGCUCUGCUAUCACUUUGGGAUGGACCCGCGCCGUAUUAGUUAGUUGGUGAGAUAAAAGCCCACCAAGACGAUGAUACGUAGCCGACCUGAGAGGGUAAUCGGCCACAUUGGGACUGAGACACGGCCCAGACUCCUACGGGAGGCAGCAGUAGGGAAUCUUCCACAAUGGACGAAAGUCUGAUGGAGCAACGCCGCGUGAGUGAUGAAGGUUUUCGGAUCGUAAAACUCUGUUGUUAAAGAAGAACAAGUGUUAGAGUAACUGUUAACACUUUGACGGUAUUUAACCAGAAAGCCACGGCUAACUACGUGCCAGCAGCCGCGGUAAUACGUAGGUGGCAAGCGUUGUCCGGAUUUAUUGGGCGUAAAGCGAGCGCAGGCGGUUUUGUAAGUCUGCUGUGAAAGCCCUCAGCUCAACUGAGGAAGUGCAGUGGAAACUACAAAACUUGAGUACAGAAGAGGAAAGUGGAACUCCAUGUGUAGCGGUGAAAUGCGUAGAUAUAUGGAAGAACACCAGUGGCGAAGGCGGCUUUCUGGUCUGUUACUGACGCUGAGGCUCGAAAGCAUGGGUAGCGAACAGGAUUAGAUACCCUGGUAGUCCAUGCCGUAAACGAUGAAUACUAGGUGUUUGGAAGGGUUUCCGCCCUUCAGUGCCGCAGCUAACGCAUUAAGUAUUCCGCCUGGGGGAGUACGACCGCAAGGUUGAAACUCAAAGGAAUUGACGGGGGCCCGCACAAGUGGUGGAGCAUGUGGUUUAAUUCGAUGCUACGCGAAGAACCUUACCAGCUCUUGACAUCUUCUGCCAACCCAAGAGAUUGGGCGUUCCCUUCGGGGACAGAAUGACAGGUGGUGCAUGGUUGUCGUCAGCUCGUGUCGUGAGAUGUUGGGUUAAGUCCCGCAACGAGCGCAACCCUUAUUAUUAGUUGCCAGCAUUUAGUUGGGCACUCUAGUGAGACUGCCGGUGAUAAACCGGAGGAAGGUGGGGACGACGUCAAAUCAUCAUGCCCCUUAUGAGCUGGGCUACACACGUGCUACAAUGGAUGGUACAACGAGUCGCGAAACCGCGAGGUCAAGCUAAUCUCUUAAAGCCAUUCUCAGUUCGGAUUGCAGGCUGCAACUCGCCUGCAUGAAGUUGGAAUCACUAGUAAUCGUGGAUCAGCAUGCCACGGUGAAUACGUUCCCGGGCCUUGUACACACCGCCCGUCACACCAUGAGAGUUUGUAACACCCAAAG